UUGAAGGCUGAAAUUCGCCUUCAUGAAGCUGGAAUUGCUAGUAAUGGCAGGUCAGCAUACUGCCGUGAAUACGUUCCCGGGCCUUGUACACACCGCCCGUCACACCAUGAGAGUUGGGAAUACCCGAAGCCUGUGAGCUAACUUUAAGAGGCAGCAGUCGAAGGUAGAAUCAAUGAUUGGGGUGAAGUCGUAACAAGGUAAC
rnacentral:rRNA from 1 species